rnacentral:rRNA from 1 species
ACCAGACUCCUACGGGAGGCAGCAGUGGGGAAUAUUGCACAAUGGGGGAAACCCUGAUGCAGCGACGCCGCGUGAGUGAAGAAGUAUCUCGGUACGUAAAGCUCUGUCAGCAGGGAAGAAAAUGACGGUACCUGAAGAAGAAGCCCCGGCUAACUACGUGCCAGCAGCCGCGGUAAUACGUAGGGGGCAAGCGUUAUCCGGAUUUACUGGGUGUAAAGGGGGCGCAGACGGCGAUGCAAGCCAGGAGUGAAAGCCCGGGGCCCAACCCCGGGACUGCUCUUGGAACUGCGUGGCUGGAGUGCAGGAGGGGCAGGCGGAAUUCCUGGUGUAGCGGUGAAAUGCGUAGAUAUCAGGAGGAACACCGGUGGCGAAGGCGGCCACCUGGACCGGUAUUGACGCUGAGGCGCGAAAGCGUGGGGAGCAAACAGGAUUAGAUACCCCCGUAUA